GUCCUCGUAGGGGAGGUGCUCCAGUGCCCUGAUCAUCUCUGUGGCUCCUCAGGACCCUCUCCCAACUAGAGGGCUUAGGCAGCACAGAAGGGAUCUGUUUUGAAAUCUCCCCAGUGGGGAUUUGUGAAAAUUAUUUCAAAGAAUAAACUAUAAUGAACAUAGUCCAGCUGCAGGAGUGGGUGUUCACUGUUGUAUAACUGAAUUUGUACAAAUUAGAAGGAGUUAAUUCUUUCUAAUUAAUUUGUAAACUCAGCAUCUUUAAUUUGUGUUAUUUGUGUCCUUCACACAAUCAUAUUCACACCAAAAUUGGGACCAAAUACUAAUGAAAUACUAUAUAAUAAAAUUAGUCUUUUAGUAGCCCAAUCGGUUUGAAGGAAUUGCACAAAACUAAGUUGAUUCUUGAAGUAAAUGCAUUUUAGUGAAAGGGAUGGAAGUAACAAAAUGAAUUCAAUUAAAAAAUACGUGGUUCUGCUAGAAUUUACUUUCAAAUGCCUGCUAAGAGAGGAAUAUGUUGCAUGCUUUUGUUAAGUAAGAAAUAAAUAAAAUGUUCUCUAACUGUUGGAGAUAAUUGGUUAAGUGCUCAACUGUGUAGUUUUUAACAGAAGAUCACACUUAAGUGCCUUAAGCUUUUAUUAAUUGCAUGGACCCCUAAAUCCCCUGUGGUAAUUGAAAAUGUAAUUACAUCCAUUUUUUGUUCUUUUAAGAAUAGAAGCUUAUUAAACUUUAAGCACUCAAACAUCCUCUGAAAUACCAGUGGCUCUAAACAACGUGCAAUUCCAACUACUAAUUAAACACUAUAAAGCUAAGCUGAAUUUUAAGUAACUUUGCACUCAGAAGUUGUCCUGUUUUUUCACGCAGCAGAAGAUUUACCAUUUCCUCUCUACACGCAGCUGAAGUCCUGCAGAAGUAGGAAAACAUCCACAAUUCAGAAUGUUUACUGAAUAUCAGCAGUUUGGAAAAGUGAAAGUGAAAGAUCCCUCUACAGCAGGAUGCUGAUGAGGAAUCAUUGCUCAUGAGCAUGAACUGGUUCCUUUCUUUUUGCAGCACCUCACUGGAAUACAACACCAGCCCUUUGAUUCUUUUGUCUCCAAAGCCAGAAGGAAAAUGUUACUGAUCUGUUUAGUAAUACGUAAAAUACAUUUCCAACUGAUAAGAAAUGUUCAAACCAACUCCCGGCCCUUCCUCAUUUUUCCACCAGAUGGCCCCACGCCCGCAGGAAAAUCACGGAAGUACCUGUUCUGCUCAGCCACUGUUUGCUUGCUCUACCCAGUGCCUUUUGCUGGUUGUGCUAUCUCAAACGUGUACCUUUGCAGGAUGCUGUAUGUUAUUCUAUAAGAACCCUGCCCCACAAUGCCCAGCAAUGUGAAGCUGGUGGAGAUCCACAGUCACAGCAAGGCCAUAAGUUAUUUGUCAACCUGAGUUUUUUGCUUUCUUCUAGGAGCAGUUUUCCACCCAUCCAGUAGCUCUGAUAACGUGUAAGAAAAAUAACAUGAAAGCCACAUGAGUUCUGCUUAUUAGCAGUGCAUUGUUUUGCAGUUCUUGCAUGCUGUUGCCUUGAUCUUUUUCCAUAGGCUGCACUGAGAUGCUGUUUACAGCAAUAAAGUGAACAUUACAUCUGAUCUCAAGUCCUGUCUUCAUUCACAGGAUGAGCUGAGAGCAGAAGGCCGGCGGAAGAAUCUCCUAAUUCUCAUCUUGCAUUACUUAAUGGAGGAAGGGUAUGUUAUCUAAGCAACAGUGCCCCACAUCUGUGUCAACGUCUGACCUCCCACUCUGUCUUCUGAUGGGUGAAUGGACAGCACGGCCAAGCAAGAGCUGAUCUGCUAUUAAAUAUCUUGAUGAUUCUGCUUAUUUGUUUCAGUUUCUGCAGCAACAGCAUCCUGUGUCAUUUCCAAGCACAUUUAGCAAUCCCUUGCUGAAAGGAUUUUUAAAUACAGUUUGUGGAUUUGAUGACAGGUAGAGGUUAAAAAUACCAUUUACUUACUAAUGCCAUUGUUUCCCUUUUCUCUCAGAAACCACAAUGAGGUAAUAAUUCACAAUAUUGUGUUCUGUAGUAACUCACAACUUUCUGUUCUGUACAAGUCACAGCUUUUUGCUCAUUGCUUUCUUGUAAUUACCAGGUACAUGGAUGCUGCAAACACUUUGGAACGAGAGACAAAAUUAGGUUUACGUGGCUUUGAAGUUUGUGACAACGUUGACCUUGAGACAAUUUUGAUGGAAUAUGAAAGCUAUUACUUUGUAAAAUUUCAAAAGUAUCCUAAAAUCACAAGGAAGGUCCUGGACACCGCAGAAAAUAAACAGCAGCUGGGAACUGGAAGAAGGCAAAGAAGGGCAGCGAGCUCUCAGAAUCUCCCAAGGAUCAAGCAGCAGCCGAUGCAACAACCAUCAUCAAAAACCUCAUUGGGGAGUACAGAACUAAAAUCACCCACCAAGGAGAGCCCAAAACAGAAUAAUGAGAGCACAGUAACUCUGGAGCAACCUGACUUUGGCUUAAGCAUCUCAGCAAUCAACAGAACUGGAGGAGGAGGAGAAGGCCCUCCCCCAAGAAGGGGCCAAGUAGUUGACUUGCAUGGGAUGGUCCAGGAUGUCAAAGUAUCCCCAAAUGGAGUAGGUUUAAACAGCCUUACUUGGGAUCCAGACCCAUCGGAACGCUUACUGAAACCCCUUAGUGCUUUUAUUGGCACGAAUGGUGAGAUGAGAGAACUUGCAACUGUUGUAAGCAAAGACAUUUAUCUCCAUAACCCAAACGUGAAAUGGGAUGAUAUCAUUGGCCUGGAUGCAGCUAAGAGGCUCGUCAAGGAAGCAGUUGUUUAUCCUAUAAGGUACCCUCAGCUAUUUACAGGCAUUCUGUCUCCAUGGAAAGGCUUAUUGCUGUAUGGACCACCAGGUACUGGCAAAACAUUGCUUGCUAAGGCUGUUGCCACAGAGUGCAACACAACAUUUUUCAACAUAUCAGCAUCCACCAUUGUCAGCAAAUGGAGAGGUGAUUCAGAAAAGCUUGUCCGGGUGCUGUUUGAGCUUGCCCGCUACCAUGCUCCUUCCACAAUUUUCUUGGAUGAACUGGAGUCUGUGAUGAGCCAAAGAGGCACCAUCUCUGGUGGUGAACAUGAAGGAAGUCGGCGGAUGAAAACAGAAUUACUGGUGCAGAUGGAUGGCUUGGCCAGAUCUGAUGAUCUUGUAUUUGUUUUAGCAGCUUCCAAUCUGCCAUGGGAGUUGGACUCUGCCAUGCUGCGGCGGCUGGAGAAGAGGAUUUUGGUCGACCUCCCAAAUCAAGAGGCACGGCGGGCAAUGAUCCAGCACUGGCUGCCACCUCUGAGCAAUGGUGGAGGAGUGGAGCUGAGAACCGACCUGGACUACAGCUUGCUGGGCCGGGAAACCGAUGGGUACUCUGGCUCAGACAUCAAACUUGUGUGCAAGGAAGCAGCCAUGAGACCAGUGAGGAAAAUUUUCGAUGCCCUUGAAAACCAUCAACCAGGUAACAGUAACUUAGCUACAAUCCGCUUGGACAUGAUCACAACAGCAGAUUUCCUGGAUGUGAUCACCCACACCAAACCUUCAGCAAAGAAACUCAGCCAGAAGUACACAGCUUGGCAGAGAGAGUUUGAAUCAGUCUGAGAAGAAAAAUCCCCAAAGACUGAGUACUUCAAGGACUUUCACUAUCCAAAAUAUCCAAAAUGUUACCUCCAAAGGACUGAGUGGUGAUGGAGAAGGGAGUGUUGAGUUUCUAGGAGAAGAGAAACCAAUAGGAAAUGUCAAAGGAUAUGAAAACUCCAGCCUUAACUUCAAGUAUAAAGAUCUAAAGAUGGAUUGCUUUUCAGUCCUUAUUCUCAGUAGCUGUUUACAGGUUUGGAGUCCAAGAACCGGAGCAGGUGAUGAGGGUAACCCUCCUUUCUGAGACUCACUAAAACAUCACAAUCACCACAGCUCUGCAGAGACCUGUGUGCCUUUUUAACCAAGCCUAAGAUUUUACUUAAGAGAUCUCUCACCUCCCUGACCUGACUUGGACUGCAGUCCACAAACCUCCUGUAUGCACUCCACCAACAAACGACACAGAUUCAGAAGUGCUGGCAGAACAGCGGAUGUUUGAAUUUAUUCACAGCUGUAGGUUAACCUAACUGUAAGUAACCCACCACCUGGCUGCAGCCAGACUAUCUUUCAUUUAAGGCAAGCUUCCCAUUCAUUCAUCACAAUGAUUUUUUGUUAACAAAGAAUGAGCAUGGCUCAUUAACACAAACCUAUAUUUUCAAUAAGCUUAAUACUUCAGUACUGUAUAAUUACAAUCUAGUAAUUUAAGACUCAGGAGCACUAUAAAACAACUGUAAAGGACUUUGAUUAUUACAGUUUGCAAAUGGACCAGAAAAGCUAUUUCCCAUCAUUACAGAGUUGGUUCAUAUUGGUGUGUUUAACACAGAGGAGAAGCAACGCACACGACAGAAUUAAAUUUCAUUUUACAGCUCUACUAACCAACUGUGUAAAAACUUGAAUAUGUCCCCACGGCUCACAAAGGGUUUUUCCCAUAACAUUAAAAAGAAACAAAAGACAGUAGUGACAUUUUGGAACUGUAGCGUUAAUAGGACCCUGCUGAAGUCUAACUUACUUUAAAAAUUCAAAGUCUAAGGCAUUUAAUAUCAGAUUUUUGUUUGAGUACCAUUCUUUUUAAUAACAGCAUCUAAUUAAAACAUCUGUACACUGCUAACACUUUUAAUUUUAUGCAAAAUCUGAAAAACAAAAACCAGGAUCUGGUCCAACAAGAGUAAAGAUGCUAACAGUAGUUAUUAUUAACAAUGGCACUACUUUAAUAUAGAAGUCACUUCUAGAGGCUCUUAUCUCUGCCUUGAAAUUAGAACAGAGAGAUCACUGCAGACUGACUAAUGUGUUGUUAGGCUUUUACAGUUUACUGGAGUGCUUCCAGUGAGUUUUCCAGUUUAGUUUAUUCUUAACACUUUUCAGAGUGGGCUUUCCAUCAGCUAUUUCAUGAAAACUGAAAACAGAACUCUGUACCACGUUCCAUGCACCCUUCAGGAAAGCAGUUGUGCUGUAGCCUUCCUGUGCUACCUGUCCUGCCGAUCAUCCGAGGUCCCUAAUCACUGCCUCAAGAAAUGAGUGCAGGAAAAGAGCUGAGUUGUGACCACAAUGGGGCCAUGCACCACUACUCUUCCUUUCACACCUUGAUGGGAAGGAGCUUAUGGCUAGGUUUCUGAUGAGCAUGCACUGAUCCUGUGACCUUAAUUUUGGAAGCAAGAGUAAAUUAUGUGAAC